UCACUGUGUGACUACGAAUGGGAUGGACAUCUUGCUAAUCUAGAAUGUGUUCAUGGAAAAUAAGCCCAUGUAACAAAUCCAAGUGAUGAGGCACAAAAGGAAGAACGUAAUAGCAUACUUAAUGAACUACAUUGUCGUAGAAAUGCAUAAUCCAUAGUGAUAUCGUAUAAUGAAAUGGCAGCAGUUGUUACUGCUACCAGCCCUGAAGAAGAUAGAAGUGACAUCUAUGCAGGUAGACCACGAGAGGAAGAUACAUCAAAUCCAUAAACGAGCACCUCUGGAGUGACAAAGAAGAGGAUGAAGGAUGACACUAAAUGUGGAUCCUGUGGCCACAGUUAUUUAGAAGACUUGAGGAAAAAAUUAGGGGCGCUAUGGAUUCACUGUAGUUUUCUUUUAAUGUGGUACCAUUCGAAGUGUCAACAUACUUUUGAAGAGAGUGAGGACGUUUUUAUGUGUAACAAGUGUCAAAACCUUUCUGAUGAAGACUAAAAUGAGGCUUUCAUUUAAUCAGUAAAUUCAAUUCAAUGUUUUUGCUCAUUAAUUCGUCAGUACUUUAACAUUAUCAUAA